CCGCCCCUCCCCGCGCUCUGCCCGUUCCCAGCGGCGGCGGCAGCGGGGCGAGGAUGAAGGACCGGACCGGGGAGCUGCGCGCUGCAAAGGACAGUGAUGAUGACGAUGAAGUCACCGUCAGCGUGGACCGGGAUCGUUUCAUGGACGAGUUCUUUGAGCAGGUGGAAGAAAUUCGAGGCUUCAUCGAUAAAAUUUCGGAAAAUGUGGAAGAAGUGAAAAGGAAGCACAGCGCCAUUCUCGCUUCACCCAACCCUGAUGAAAAAACGAAAGAGGAGCUGGAAGAGCUGAUGUCUGACAUAAAGAAGACGGCGAACAAAGUGCGCUCCAAGCUAAAGAGCAUUGAGCAGAGUAUUGAACAAGAGGAAGGACUGAACAGGUCAUCGGCUGACCUGCGGAUAAGGAAAACUCAGCACUCCACACUGUCCCGCAAGUUCGUGGAGGUGAUGUCCGAGUACAACGCCACGCAGACUGACUACCGGGAGCGCUGCAAGGGCAGGAUCCAGAGGCAGCUGGAGAUCACUGGCAGGACCACCACCAGCGAGGAGCUGGAGGACAUGCUGGAGAGCGGCAACCCGGCCAUCUUCUCCUCUGGGAUCAUCAUGGAUUCAAACAUCACCAAGCAGGCGCUGAAUGAGAUUGAGACACGGCACAGUGAGAUCAUCAAACUGGAGAACAGCAUCCGAGAGCUGCACGACAUGUUCAUGGACAUGGCCAUGCUGGUGGAGAGCCAGGGCUGCUGGGCAGGGCAGCAUCCACUCGGAGCCAGGGAGCAGCAGAGCAGGAAGGAGCUCACGUCUGCGUGCGCGUGGGCGCGUGGGCUGUGUCCUCCUCCUGCAGGGAGAAAUGAUUGACCGCAUCGAGUACAACGUGGAGCACUCGGUGGACUAUGUGGAGCGGGCUGUGUCCGACACCAAAAAAGCGGUGAAGUACCAGAGCAAAGCCAGACGGAAGAAGAUCAUGAUCAUAAUCUGCUGUGUGAUCCUGGGCAUCGUCAUCGCCUCCACCUUCGGCGGCAUUUUCGGCUAGACUCACCCCACAGGACUGUUUGUGUGCGAUGGAUGGAGCCGCGCGUGCCAUGGGGCUGCAGCCACACUGGAGCAACCCACGCAGCCCCGGAGCCUCCCAGCAGCAUUUCAGUUUCUAAUGCAUGGUUGUUUGUGACGCUGUGUGUGCGGUGCGGUGCGUCUGUGUGGAGGGAGCUCCAGCCCCGGGGCGCAGGCGGGGGGCAAGCGAUGGUGAUGGGCGCAAGGGGGACCCUGGGGGGGAAACCCAAGCUCUCAUCACUGCUCCAGGCUGGGUGGCUGGCUGGGACCAGGAGGGAGACACAAGUGACUUUGGGCACUGCUGCUCAUCCUGUGAUGGGCGGUGUUAGUGACAGCUGAGGAGGAGGGGCCGAUGGUGGGUGUUAGGGGUCCUUGGGAGUACGGUGCCCAGUCAACCUCCCCAGCUUGCCCAUCACCUCCAACUCUCAUGUCUGUCAGCCGCAUCUGUGCUUGCAAACACCUUCCCUCGGGCUGCUUCUCUUCGGGGCCCUUCCCCAGGGGUGUGCUCUGCCCAGCCCUGCCUGGCCAGUGACUGUGUCUGGCUCUGGGGCUCCAUCCCUGCCACUCCUCCGGUGGCAGGGCUGUCCCCUCCCUCCGUGAGCCCUCACCCCAGCAGGGUGCCAAAGGCUGGAUGUGCCACUGCAGCUGGUGGGUGCCUGAUGGAGCACUGUGGAAUAAGGGGCUGCUGCUUGGGGCCAUCACACUUGCCUGGGGACAGGAAUAGGGCACGUGAGGGUUAGUGCUGCUCCUGGCUGCUGGCCUGACAGGGCAGGAUGGCACAGAUAGUCUAAGGCCAGUGAAUUUGCUGCUCAUGCUGCAGCACACCCUCAUUGCAGUGCUCUCAGCCCUGGCACACGGUGGUCCUGGCUCCUGUUGCCCACAGGCCAGGACUCUGCCCGCCGGGGUUUGGGGCUGUUGCUGAUGUCCACAGCCCCUGGCAGCACCCACCUGCAAGCAGGGCUGCUCCAGCCUUGCUUUUCCACACCCAUGGCCGGGGGUUAGAAGCAGCUGGGCUUUCUCCUGUUGUGGUCCCAGGAGCAGCCCUUGCUGCAUCCAGCCCCCUGCAGGCGAGUAAGAGGAGCCUUCCUCCUCCUCCUGUACCCAGUCUGGUUGUGAACAGGCCAGUGCCUGUUCACCUGUUUGCCACCUCCUGGCAUCCUGCUGCUCCUGGCACCUGCCCUUCUGCCCAGCCAUCCAGUGAGGCACCUGCUCUCAGAGGGGUGCUGUGGGACAACCUGGGGGUCCUGUGCUGUGCCCACAACACAGAUGCAGCUGCUGUGGGGCCCAAGCCCAUUGGCAGCUCAGGGGAGUCAUUGCCUGUUUCCCUCAGGCUAGGGACAGGGCUCUGCCCUCCCCUUCCUCUGGAGACCCCAGGGCUCUGGCUGGCCUGUGCACAUGCCAGAGCACCACAGAGGAGUCCCAAGGUAGGCUGGGCUCGCUGCCACACUGGGACAGGGGCUGGCUGGCAGGUGCUGGUAGCAGAAAAGGGACCCUGGAUGGCAGCCAGUGUUCCAGCCUCGGGCAGCAUCACCUCCCAGCUCCCACCAGCACCAGGGCAGGUGCUGUGGCUCAGGCACUGGCUGUGUGUGGUACCCCUGGGUGCAGGGGAAAGGCAGUGGCUGCAGCCCCAGAGUGCUGCCUCCCCCAGGGCCAGCCCUGCCCAGCAGCAGCCCUGACACGGCUUCUCCUCUGCCACUGUAACCCGAGGUCCCCCCUACAGCCCCUUGUUGCAUGCAGCUGCCCUUGGGAAGUGGGUCCAGCCUGGUUCCCCACACUGCCCAGCCCAAGCCCCUCAGGGUGCAGCCACGGGAACACCCCAGAGCAGAGCCCCCUUCUUUCACAGUCCCACACCGAGCCACGUGAGCUCCAGCACUGCAGCCUGCGUGCACUGAAGGGCUUGGGGCACCAGGACCGUGCAGGCAGGGGUGGGAGGCAGGCAAGGGCAGGGUCUCUGCUCCAGGGGGACACGUCUGGCUGCAGGAAAAGGGAGUAGCCAUGCUUCUGUCCCUCAGCAGCUCCCUGCCACUGCCAUCCACGCUUGCUCUGCCAGGCCAGCAAGAGCCCCGGGGCCCCUCCAGGAAGCAAUAACACUGGGCAGGCAGGAAAACCCUCCUGCCAGGCUCCUGCCCUGCAGCCAUGCUCCUGCCCUGCAGCCAUGCCCACUGCUAGCACAAGGUGACUUCUUUUUCUUCCAGGCAGCGGCUUUAGUGGCACAAGCUCACCUGACAUCAGGGCUCUGGCACCCUGUCAAGGCACAAGGCCAGGAACUGCACUGGGGGGAAUUCUUGGCCCUUGCUCCUUGUUGGCACCACCACUGCCAGCAGCCCCCACAGCAGCACCAGUCGGACGGGGCCAGUCAGGGCCACUGGCACUUUGCUGGGUGGAUCCUGUGGGCAGCAGCAGCGCUGGGCUCCAAAGCAAGGGAGAUGAGGAACAGCUGCCCCACAGGCAGGCUCACACUGUCCUCGCUGUGAGGGGAGGGUGUUUUGGUGCAAUAAUUACCCCUGCACUACGGGAAGCCCCAUUGAGUUCCUUUUCACCUACCUGUCGUUGCAUGUACAGACCAAAUCACCAAGUGUGGUUGUGCUUUGGGAAGACGUUUCACCUUUUCUUUCCAGCCCCCCCAACCUGCACCCGCUUGUCCUUUGGGUUCCACCACCUCUGUUCCAAGUGCCACCCGCCCUCCCCACGCCGGGAGCGUGUUGAUGCAGUAUUCCAUGAGCAGUGUGGGGCACGCACAGCUUGCACUCGAACUGGGGAUUGGUUUUUUUUUUUUUUUGUAAUUAAUGUACUUGAAGGCUUUCCGAGCCCCCCGUGGAGUUCUACUGUUGCUGUACUGUGAGCUAAGUGUCCUUGUUUUCUAUGUGGAUCUUGACCCUGGCUUGCUCUGUCUCACUGGGCUGGAUGACACUGUAUGUUGCCUCUCUUCUCCUUCCCCUCUUUCCCUCCCUGCUAGCAUUCCUUUCUUCUCCCAAGGCUUUGGGUGCAAAACAGCUUCCCAUUUUGUGGAAUUUUUAUGUAGAAUAAACAUUUGUAACUGUAAA